AGGCAUUCCCUGCCAGCACGUAAUUAUUCUCCACUCUUUGCAUCCUUAGUGUAUAUGGGGUAUUUGUGUGUGUUUGUCACAUGCAAGUUAUGGUUUAUUAAAAUUUUCUUUUAUUGAUCUAAGUUCUCAAAAUUGGGGAAUCUGGAUUGCUAUGUUGAAUAUCAAUUAAAAGUCUCUACAUAUUGUUUGGUUCAACCUUUUAAAGAUGCUGUAUUUUACUCCAGUCCGGAAAUAAUACCUUCCCCAUGGCUGAUGGUUCUCUUUGUUCUGGUCAUUGCAGCCCAAAUGAAUUUUGUUUUCUUCUUGUGGCCUCCACUGAUCAUGUUUAUUGUCUAUAUAUAUUACUUUUAGAUUAGUGUCAAAGUAUCUCAUGUCCAUAGCUGCAAUAUUCCUAGUACCUUAUUGGAUUAUGAAUAACAAGAUUGAUAGCUUAUCCUUCCUUUGCCUAAUUGCGUCCUCCACUGGUAGAGCAGCAUAGGAUCUGUAACUCUUUAAGUAAUUUCCUCAUUUAAUUUGAUAAAAUUUUACAUUAAUCAGACUUGAUACGAAGAUACCAUACUUCUAGUGGUGCUUCCUAAGAGCUCAAGAUCAAGUUUCUUGCCCCUACUUUCUGUUCACUUCCUUUCUUUUGUCAUAGAUAGAAGAGCACGCAUGAAACUUUUUUGUUAUCAUUUUGUAACCUGUGUCUGCAUAUUGCACGUUGAUAUAGACUUGUACUUUGACAAAUAGGUCUCAAAUCUUCUAGUCAUUCGGAUGACA
rnacentral:misc_RNA from 1 species